rfam:Ovis aries breed Texel chromosome 17, whole genome shotgun sequence.
UCCCUGAUAGCUCAGUUGGUAAAGAAUCUGCCUGCAAAGCAGGAGAUCCUGGUUCAAUUCUUGGCUGGGGAA